rnacentral:misc_RNA from 1 species
CGAUACUGCCGGCACAAAAUUGGCGAGUCAAAUCUUCAGGCAUCUGACCUCCUACAAAUUGGUGAGAUGGAAGGUCCUGCAUUGGACCUCUUCAAAACUAAAUUGGAGGCUGUUAUGGCUGAGGCAAGGUCCCAACAGGCUGCUUCUCUGACGGAGUUUCACUGGCUUGGUCACAAAUUUCCAAUAUCGAAUGCAAAAACUCGGG